rnacentral:rRNA from 1 species
AACGAACGCUGGCGGCAGGCUUAACACAUGCAAGUCGAACGCAUCGCAAGAUGAGUGGCAGACGGGUGAGUAACGCGUGGGAACAUACCCUUUUCUACGGAAUAGCUCUGGGAAACUGGAAUUAAUACCGUAUACGCCCUACGGGGGAAAGAUUUAUCGGGGAAGGAUUGGCCCGCGUUGGAUUAGCUAGUUGGUGGGGUAAAGGCCUACCAAGGCGACGAUCCGUAGCUGGUCUGAGAGGAUGAUCAGCCACAUUGGGACUGAGACACGGCCCAAACUCCUACGGGAGGCAGCAGUGGGGAAUAUUGGACAAUGGGCGCAAGCCUGAUCCAGCCAUGCCGCGUGAGUGAUGAAGGCCUUAGGGUUGUAAAGCUCUUUCACCGAUGAAGAUAAUGACGGUAGUCGGAGAAGAAGCCCCGGCUAACUUCGUGCCAGCCGCCGCCGUAAGAC